rnacentral:tRNA from 1 species
GGAGGCGUAGCUCAGCUGGUUAGAGUACCUGCUUCACAUGCAGGGGGUCGGUGGUUCAAGCCCACUCGCCUUCA